GACGAGCGCUGGCGGCGUGCUUAACACAUGCAAGUCGAACGGAAAGGCCCUGCUUUUGUGGGGUGCUCGAGUGGCGAACGGGUGAGUAACACGUGAGUAACCUGCCCUUGACUUUGGGAUAACUUCAGGAAACUGGGGCUAAUACCGGAUAGGAGCUCCUGCUGCGUGGUGGGGGUUGGAAAGUUUCGGCGGUUGGGGAUGGACUCGCGGCUUAUCAGCUUGUUGGUGGGGUAGUGGCUUACCAAGGCUUUGACGGGUAGCCGGCCUGAGAGGGUGACCGGCCACAUUGGGACUGAGAUACGGCCCAGACUCCUACGGGAGGCAGCAGUGGGGAAUAUUGCACAAUGGGCGGAAGCCUGAUGCAGCAACGCCGCGUGCGGGAUGACGGCCUUCGGGUUGUAAACCGCUUUCGCCUGUGACGAAGCGUGAGUGACGGUAAUGGGUAAAGAAGCACCGGCUAACUACGUG
rnacentral:rRNA from 1 species